UGUGAUGCUGGUCCGUGGACCAACUGAGUAGCAAGAGCCAGAGCAGUGGUACUCAAAGUGCAGUUCCCAGACCCAUGGCAUUUGCAUCACCUUUGGUAUGGAUGAAUAUUUGUCAACAAAUGGAGCUUAAGAAGCAAAACAUGAAAGAAUGUCUUAACUAACAAGAUAAUAUGCAACAAAGAGAUGUGGCAUUCAGCAGGGCCUCCUGCCUUACCUGGGGGGAAUACACCUGGGCCAGCUGUGAGUCCCAACAGAAUAGCAGGUUCACUGUACCCAGUAAUACCGAACCCAGUUGUGAUGUAUGUUCUGGGAAACCUGGUUGCAUUACAGUGUCAGAAGUGGCACAAUGGAAAGUUGCCAGGACACCUGGGUUUCAGUUUAAGUGUGUUUAAUUAUGUGACCUUUGGUUCAACACUUACAAUAGGAGAAAGGUGCCUCAUGAACGUUGUGCAGUAGGAUCUGUGUUUGUCCAAUAGGCUAACAGCAUCAUAGAUAAAGCUAUGAAUGCUUCUGACGGUUCCAUUUCAACAUGUCCCACUGGCAGCACAUGAGUGCUCAGACUUUCCUCAGGGGUAUAAAUUAAUGUAAAAUGUAUCCUGCACCAGAGAAAUUCCUAGAGUGCCAGCAAGAAACAAAUGCAAAGUUCUCCAUAGCAAGACUGCCACAAUUUCCAGCCCGCCAGGAGGGAAUAAAACCUCGUAAGGUGACAAAAAUGAACCUUAAGAAGUAAAACGAGUACCAAGCAGGAUAAAUAAAAAUACAUCCACACAAAGACUUAUCUUGGAAAAACUGCAAGAGACUAAAUAUGAAGUAAAGAAGAACCGAGGAAGGAACAUUUAUAUGUAGAAAGGAUUUCUCAUCAACAAAAUGAAGGUUGGAUGUCAGAGUCUCUUAAACAGGGACCACAAUAGAGGUCCUGAUGGGGUUGAAAACAGAGGACUCAAGAGUGAAGCAGACACCUCUGAAUACUAGAAUCAGUGGAGCAAUCCCAAGCUAAGCUGUUGAUGAUGUAACCUGGUUCUCUGAUGAGCUGUUCCUUGUCACUAGCCAGUACUAAUGCAUGUAAAUAGAUACGGGCUGCAGAUGAUACCUGGAAUUGUCAGUGGCUCAUUAGAAGCAUGCAAGUGAUGUAAAACCAGAAAUCCUUCUAUCACCUUCCUCAAGAUUCCAAAUCAGUUGCUACUGCAGAAAAUUCUACUCCUUGCUAUCUUUGACCUGUAUCCAGGUGUCUGGUGCUCAUCUGCCACUCCAGCCAGUAGGAAGUGUUAUUUUCUAAUAUCCAACUCUGUCCUAAAGAGUCAGAAGAAGGACCCUUAAAGCUACUUGGACCCCUGAUAACACAGUUCUUGGUUUUUACUUCUAAGUUCAAUCUUUGUGGAGUUUGGAGUCUGAUAGAGAAAUAUGGGCAUUAAGCAAAUAAUCACACAACUUAAAAAUGUGAAUACAGGGGCACCUGAGUGUCUGACUCUUGAUUUCAGCUGGGUCCAUGAUCUCAGGGUUGUGGGAUCGAGCUCUGUGCUGUGCCCUACAACAGGUUCCGCAUUGGGCAUGGAGCCUACUUAGGAUUUUCUCCCUCUACCUCUGUUGUCUCUGCAUGCACAUGUGCUCGCUCGCUCUCUCUCUCUCUCUUUCUCUCUUUCUCAAGAAAAACAAAAUGUGAAUAUGAGUUGUGUUAAGUACUGUGAAAAAAAAAAGUAUAGGCAGCAGAAUGGAUCGGAAG